rnacentral:lncRNA from 1 species
CCUGGGCUUCCUAGCUGGACACACUGUGAGAUAGCAGAUGGUAUCAUCUGCUAUCCCAAUAUUUUGUGAUUUUCUUUCUCCUCACAGGAAUGUGAUCUUCCUACUCUGUCUUGUUACAGGAAUUUGUGGAGACUGAGCAGGAAAUUCUGAGGGCAAUGGCAAAUUUAAUAGCAAAAGUUCAGCACAGAGAGCAAAAGGUUGACAGUAUUAGCAACAGGCUUCAAAGUAACUUGGACGGUCUGGAUUCUUUACUAGAAAGUCAAUCUGCCAUUAAUCCCUGGGAUUCCCAGUGAUGGCUGACAGACACCAGAAUGUUGUGCCAGAAAACCGGUUCUAUUUUCCUGCUCUACUCACAGAGAUGCAUUGUGAAAUAAAUAAGGUACAAACAAAAUGGAUAUGACA